rnacentral:lncRNA from 10 species
CUGACGAGUGCUGGGUCACGAGGGCAGGCUGCAGCCUCCCUUGCAGUUCCUUGCCUUAGACGCCCGUGCCAGCCCAUUCAACCAUCACAAAUGCUCAGACAGAGCAGAAGGUUCCCAACAGGCUGCGCCUGCGCUGGACCACCCCCUUUCCUCCUUCCUUCAGCUGCCCCUCUUUCUGGAUGGGUAAAAGCACUUCCAUGUUUUCAGAGGCGUGGAGGGAGCCCGAGAAGAGCAGAUGUUGACACCACCAUCACUGCCUGCAGCAGUGAGACCAGGGGCACAGUUUUUGUUGAAAGGGUCGACCAGGAAGCACUUCCUUGACUCUGUCCUAAAGCCUCUGGAGAGCCCUUAAAUUUGUGGUCCUUGAAGCUAUUGUAAAGGUAUUAUUCAGGAACAAGAUGGGCAAAACAUGAAUAGGACAAGCUUUCUGCUCUCCAGGGACUCCCUUGAAGAUGUGUCACAACCCCAAGCCAGUAUGCCUGUGUGAUUUCAUCUUAGAUGGUAUCUUGGAAGCAAGACCUACCUGGACUUUUUAGAAAUCUAAUCUAAUCAUUUUCUGUCUUGGAGUAGGGAGUUGAAAGGCACAAGUGCGGACAAGAGGAUCAAUCAAAGCUCCGUUCUGUUCCCAAUCCUUCCAGUCCCGAUGCUCCAGAGAGCAGGGGAGGCACCUGUACACAGGUACUGGGCAUGACUGAUGAGGCAGUGCCCAGGAGCCCAACUUCCUCGAAGCGAGAGAAAGGACAGAGAUGCUAAGAUCUGCACACUUCCACAUUUUAGAGAAUUUGGGAGACCCAUGUUGGAUGUGGACCGUGGUUCUUAUUGGUAUUAUUUUCUGAGUGGUAGAUGUGCUUAAUCCCAGCACCUGCCUAAACUGAUGACAACAGCGGCUUUCCUACUGGAAGGACAUUGCCACUUGAUAGCAUAUGCUGUACCUCGCUUGCAUGUCCCUGCUUCCAAGCUUUGGGGAUUUCUAGGAUUGUUUUCUCCUAGUUUCCUUGUGUCACGUGGGCUCCUUUAUAAAAUAUCCCCAUAUAAUAGUGCAUGAUGUGCUCUAUUACAAAACACAAAUGUGUCUGUCCAAGACAGCCUGGGGGCAGCGAGCUGGGGCGUGGCAAGGAGACCAACUGGAAUGACGGGAGAGCCCUAGUGGAUGCACAGUGCACCGCUCUUACACCACAAGCCUCCCGCCCCAGCAUGAUUUAACCCGUGAAGAAAGCAGAGCAUUUAAUAUGUUCUACAGAUGUUUUAAAAAAGGAAUAACGGCGCUUGUCCCAAGUGUGGGAUGGAGGCACACACUCUUCUGAGAUGUGAAGCAAAUUUCAUAUCUCAAAAGAGAAAAAGGACAACAGUUCCUGCUCAGUCACCAAGUCUGAUUCUCAACCCUGGAACGCCUCAGCCUGCCUGAGCCCAGAAAUGAGGCUCCUUGUGAACACUAUGGAAAUGCAAUGGCUGUUUUGAUUUUCCAUAAUGGACAGCACACUGGUCCAGGAGGCAUAUCCAAUCUAAAUGAACUAGCAUCUGUGAAACUUCCUAGCACAGUCCCAGCACAUCGCAGGAGCUGAACUAAUGUUCUUUUCCCUUCCCAAGGAACCCUGAAGCCUUUGAAGGAACCGUGAUUGGGAAGGCAUCAGCAUUUGCUUUUCGCUGGUAUAAAUUUGGACCACUGGUCUGCCCGGGGUGUCCCCUGCCAGUGGUCGUGGACUGCUAGGGAAGCACAGCACACCCCCCAACACCCCCCCGCAAGGAAGACCCCUCAUUGCCCACCAAUGUCCUCUUUCUGGCGUCCCUCACGUUCCUGGCCGAGACCCUCCGUUCAGUCACGCCAUGAGGUCAGGGCCACGGUUGCCAUUGUCUGCUGGAAGCCAGUGCAGCACUUGGAGCUUAGAAGAUGCACACAACUCUUUGUUAAAGAACAAAGAAAUGGGAGAAACUUUUUAAAAGAAAAUAAACAGAGAGAAAGAGGGUGAGACGAAGACUGUGGCUGAGGCUUUGUUUUCAGGCCGAAAGCAGGACACUCAGCUCAUUCUCAAUGAAACUUCAACAUCGAUAAUUCAAAUGUCUUAGAAAUUGUACAUUGGAAGGGGAAAUAAAAUGAUUUUUCAGCUCUUUUAGGCUUACAGAUACCUAAAUGAAGCAUAGAUUGUAGAAUGUUGUUCAGAAGGGAAUUAAAUUUGGAUUUCAUCCUUCCCAGGGACUGGGGGCACUGCUUGUCACUUUGACUCAAAUGGAGAGUCCCUGCCACUGCUUGCUUGCCUUCAUCUGACCACACUGUGCUAAGCGCCCAGCCCCAGGGUAUAGCUGAGCCCUGCACCAGCUGCAGUGAACCGCUUGGCCGGGUGCCCUCUUAGAUCCUCCCUGCCCUGUUCCCUGGCUCUCUGUCCCCUGCGGUCCUCUUCUCUAGGACUGUUGAAACUUCUCCGCAUCUGGUCAGCUUCACACAAAAGGGCUCCUAUUUUACAGGCUGAGAGCCCCUUCCUGUGUGUUGUCAAAACUGACACAUCGCAUUGCUUAGGUUUAAUCUUCAGGUACUUUUUCUGUUUUUUUACCUAUAAAAUUAAUAUAAGCAUAUGCUCCCGUAAUCAACACAAUUUAGAUAAAGCAAGAGUUCCUCUGGGCCCUCCCACUUCCAUUUGCAUUUUCUUUUCUGUGGACUAACUGGUCAUCUUCUUUAUCCACUUGUCUAUGAGGUUGUUGAUCUUGGUCUUUUUUCUUAUUAACAGAUAGGAAUUCUUCAUAGAGCCUAGAUAACAAUCCAGAAUUCAUGUGUAUACGCACGCAUUUAUCUAUAUGUAUAUGUAUAAGCACAUUACACACAUACAUUUGCACACAUACAAAUGUUAGAAAUAUCUUCUCCAACUCUGUUGCUUGUCUUUUAUCUCAGCUUAUAGAGGUUUCCGAUUUUGAAUCAGAAGUUUCACAUUUCAUUGAAGGUAGACAUCACUCUUUCUCUAUUUGCUUUUGUGAUUUGUGUCUUGCUCAAGGCCUUCCCUGUCCUACCCCCAUGUCAAAAGCAUGUUCUCCACUAUUUUCUUUCAGUCCUUAAUCUUUCUUCCGUAGGUAGCCAAUGUCCAGCACGUUUGGUAAUGACACCUCCUCGGUGAAGCGCAAGGCCACCUUGACCCCAGCUCCCAUGGGUCUGUCUUCAGGGGAAUUUUGAGGUUGUUUUUGCUGCAGGGUGUCAGGAACUCCUUCCUCUCUGAUUCUUGGAAAAGUUUACUGUUUGCUGCUGGCUUUGUGGUCUCUCCUCCCUGUGCAGGUAGGGUGUGGAGGGUAAUCAGAGUCAGUCCAGAGGUUGCUCAAAGUUUCAGUUUAUCUCCAGCCACUAUUUGCUAACUCAUCUGAGAAUUCUGCCAAGAUAAACAUCAGACAGACCCUCCUAUGGUUCAAUCAGUCUGCUCCUGGGAAAAUUAGGACAUGUGUCUGCCCGGCUCUGCUGGUGUUCCUGAGAGUGACUGGUCUCUGUGUGACCUUUCAUUGGCCAGGCUCCCCCAAGGGAAACGUCCACCAGCAGAAAAAGUAGGAAAAAAAUCCCUUUAUGCAGAGAAAAUACACUGCAGAAACAAACAUAGUCUAACCCUGCCUUUUAAAACAUAGCUUUUAGACUGAAAGAGUUCACCCUUCCUCUCUCCACCUGGUCACUCUUGGGAUGACAAUUUCAAAUCCCACAUAACAUUCACAGUGUGUUAUUCCCAUGCAAUUACCUUGUUAGGUUUCAUACAUUUAGAACACGGAGGGGGACAGGGGAUGCUUCUCCGCAGUCUCUUCGUUAUUGGGACAUACUCCAACGCUCAGACAGCUCCACAAUGCACCUUUCUCCCACUCUUCAUUCCUUUUCUGGCAACACUCUUUCUCUCUCAGAGGAUUUUAAAAACAUGUCUUGUUACAAAAAGCAAAGAAUGACAGUUGCUUCAGAAAAAUACCCAACUGAAAGAUCCACUCCCUGACCAUGGAGAGCUCACUACAGAUCUAGAAACGCGAGGCAGAGACUUGAAGAUGCUGCACACAUCCUGUGUGGGAGUGGGAGAAAAGCUGCUGCUUCCUUAGCAUUAAAACAGACAGGGUCAUUUCAGCCUUGCAGGGGAUGACCAGCCCUCACUGGAAUUAUGUGAUGGCAUCACAUUUGCUCCUCAUGUAAACAUUCCAGCGGGAGAACGACUGCUCCCUGAAGACACUCAUGGUGUGAUAAACAGCAGUCAGUGGAAUCAAGGCAGGGGCGAGGUCCUCUUCCUUCUGCCUCCUUCUCACCAUGGCACCUUGAGAGAGGCCCUUUGUCCCUCGGGUUUUUCCAUUUUCUCAUUUGCAAAAUGAAGAGGAUCCCAUCUACACCGUCGUGUUUAGAAAUGACACAAGAUCACAAAAACCUCUGCCGCCUCGAAGAUACAGAAUUGCUGGUGAGGCUCGUUGUCUGAGAGCCGGGCUCUGCUCCCCUCGGGGCCAAGUCUACCAAUUGUUCUUUGGAAAACAAAAGCUGGAGGCAUUAAAACUGGGCUGUUCCAAGUGUUCUUUACGUUUUAUAAAUUUUAUAAGGUGAAACUCAAUAUUUAGAUGAUUGGUAGAAACGUCUCUUGGGGGCUUUAUGGUUUUCUAACAUAGAGUGGGGGGACAUGUUACCUCGGCAGGAGCAUGUGGGCUGAGAGGAGGGAACCACAUCAGGGAGGCCGGUGACUGGAGAGGGAAGUCCUCCUCCUGUGGAGGGCCUGGCCCUCAUGGAUUCCCCACUUCCAGGCAACUUUGUGACCUCAGAGAAGCUAACCUGAUGUGCAUGCUACUGACGUUGCCCAUGCCGCUCCUGCUGGCUGAUGGAACUAUCUGUCUGGAGUCUGUGGAUGGCAGACCUCCUGAUUGUGUGGAGCGUGAGUUUUUCGAAAGAGAUCUCUCACUUUCAUCCAGGCUGGAGUGUAGUGGCACACACCACCACACCAGGAUAAUUCUU